rnacentral:rRNA from 1 species
UAGGGAAUAUUAGAAAUGGACGAAAGUCUGAUCUAGCAACACCGCGUGUGCGAAGAAGGCCUUCGGGUUGUAAAGCACUUUUUGAGAGGAUGAGGAAGGACGGUACUCUCAGAAUAAGUCUCGGCUAACUACGUGCCAGCAGCCGCGGUAACACGUAGGAGGCAAACGUUAUCCGGAUUUACUGGGCGUAAAGCGCGUGUAGGUGGUUCUGUAAGUAGGGCGUGAAAGCUCCUGGCUCAACUGGGAGAGGCCGUUCUAAACUGCAGAGCUAGAGGAUGGUAGAGGGAGGUGGAAUUCCGGGUGUAGCGGUGGAAUGCGCAGAUAUCCGGAGGAACACCAGUGGCGAAAGCGGCCUCCUGGACCAUUCCUGACACUCAGACUCGAAAGCUAGGGUAGCAAACG